rnacentral:rRNA from 1 species
CCCUUAGAUGUUCUGGGCCGCACGCGCGCUACACUGUUCGACGCAGCGAGUCUUAACCUUGACCGAAAGGUUUGGGUAAUCUUCAGCAAAGUCGAACGUGAUGGGGAUCGAUCAUUGCAAUUAUUGAUCGUGAACGAGGAAUUCCUAGUAAGUGCAAGUCAUCAGCUUGCGCUGAUUACGUCCCUGCCCUUUGUACACACCGCCCGUCGCUACUACCGAUUGAAUGGUUUAGUGAGAUCUUCGGAUUGGCGCCUACGCGGCUUCUCUGAGGCCACGCUGGAUGCCGAAAAGUUGCUCAAACUGUAUCAUUUAGAGGAAGUAAAAGUCGUAACA